CCUACGGGAGGCUGCAGUGAGGAAUAUUGGUCAAUGGACGAGAGUCUGAACCAGCCAAGUAGCGUGAAGGAUGACUGCCCUAUGGGUUGUAAACUUCUUUUAUAUGGGAAUAAAAUGUUCCACGUGUGGGAUUUUGUAUGUACCAUAUGAAUAAGGAUCGGCUAACUCCGUGCCAGCAGCCGCGGUAAUACGGAGGAUCCGAGCGUUAUCCGGAUUUAUUGGGUUUAAAGGGAGCGUAGGUGGAUUGUUAAGUCAGUUGUGAAAGUUUGCGGCUCAACCGUAAAAUUGCAGUUGAAACUGGCAGUCUUGAGUACAGUAGAGGUGGGCGGAAUUCGUGGUGUAGCGGUGAAAUGCUUAGAUAUCACGAAGAACUCCGAUUGCGAAGGCAGUUCACUGGACUGCAACUGACACUGAGACUCGAAAGUGUGGGUAUCAAACAGGAGUAGAUACCCUAGUAGUC
rnacentral:rRNA from 1 species